UACGUAGGUGGCGAGCGUUGUCCGGAAUCACUGGGCGUAAAGGGCGCGUAGGCGGCGCUUCAAGUCGCAUGUGAAGGACCAGGGCUUAACCUUGGGGGGUCAUGCGAAACUGGAGUGCUUGAGUGCAGUAGAGGUAAGCGGAAUUCCUGGUGUAGCGGUAAAAUGCGUAGAGAUCAGGAGGAACACCGGUGGCGAAGGCGGCUUACUGGGCUGUAACUGACGCUGAGGCGCGAAAGCGUGGGGAGCAAACAGG
rnacentral:rRNA from 1 species